GUAGGUGACCUGCGGAAGGN
rnacentral:rRNA from 1 species